rnacentral:piRNA from 1 species
GCCAAGCCAUUACUAGGGUGCUGUUGGGAGC